rnacentral:rRNA from 1 species
AGUGAACGCUGGCGGCAGGCCUAAUACAUGCAAGUCGAACGGCAGCACAGCAGAGCUUGCUCUGUGGGUGGCGAGUGGCGGACGGGUGAGGAAUACGUGGGAAUCUGCCCAGUCGUGGGGGAUAACGUAGGGAAACUUACGCUAAUACCGCAUGCGCCCUUCGGGGGAAAGCCGGGGACCUUCGGGCCUGGCGCGAUUGGAUGAGCCCACGUCGGAUUAGCUAGUUGGCGGGGUAAAGGCCCACCAAGGCGACGAUCCGUAGCUGGUCUGAGAGGAUGAUCAGCCACACUGGAACUGAGACACGGUCCAGACUCCUACGGGAGGCAGCAGUAGGGAAUAUUGGACAAUGGGCGCAAGCCUGAUCCAGCCAUGCCGCGUGAGUGAAGAAGGCCCUCGGGUUGUAAAGCUCUUUUGUCCGGAAAGAAAAAGCGCCGGGUUAAUACCCUGGUGUCCUGACGGUACCGGAAGAAUAAGCACGGCUAACUUCGUGCCAGCAGCCGCGGUAAAUACGAAGGGUGCAAGCGUU